AUGGCCAACUAUAGCAGCUGCUUCCAUACAUCAAUCAUACUCUCGAUGCUUCUUCUCAUAUGUUUUGCUACCCAUGCACAAUGCAGAAUCUUGGAAGACAUGAAAGCAAUUAGGGUCAAUAUACCAGGUGGUCUGUGCGCCCGUGCUCGGGGCUGCAAAGACGUAUGCAUAUGUUGUUUAGUAAAGGAUUCCUGCUAUGAUUCAUUUGAUGAAUGCCUGGCCGACUGUCCAAAAGCUUCUCCGUUAGACCCAGCGGCAGCGAUGAAUCGUUCUCCAUCACCAUCCUAUCUAAUCUAG
rnacentral:rRNA from 1 species